GCCUGAGUGGCUCAGUUGGUUAAGCGUCUGACUUCGGCUCAGGUUAUGAUCUCCCAGUUUGUGGGUUUGAGCCCCAUGUUGGGCU
rfam:Felis catus isolate Cinnamon breed Abyssinian chromosome B4, whole genome shotgun sequence.